UAACAAUAGUUUCUUCUCUCUGUGCUUUCAGGGUCUCUGCGGUUGCUGCUACGCCGUCACAACGAUGUCGACGUUGGAAACACAGCGCUGUCUGGCCAGCAAUCAAUUCACACCGCUCAGCUUCCAGCAUGCGAUAGACUGCAAUCCAUUCACGUACGGCUGUGAUGGAGGAUGGCCUUAUGAUGUCUACUGGUGGCUGUACUACACUAAUGCUACCAUCAACGAAGCUGAUUACGGAUAUCAGGGCAUACGGGAGCAGUGCCAGCAGGGAAAAGCAACCUAGUGGAGCACUUAGAAAUGAAAACACCUUAUCAUUCUAACUAUAGCGACACUAAAUGUGAGGUAGAGGCACGAGGCUGAUGAGCAAGCUGCUACAGUACGGUCCCGUAGUCGCUGGUCGUCAACGCCGUCAGUCCGUCUGCGAAC